UUUUGAAACUGAAGAGAAGAAACAACGUCUUCUGAAAGAGAAAGAAGAGCAAAUACGCAAAGAGAAAGAAGAACCGGUGAGGAAACUAAGGAAGAAAUAUGAAGAAGAGAUGAUGAAAAUUAGUGAACAACUCCAGGCUGACAGAGAGAGGGAGAAGAAAGAGAGAGAGGAGGAGAUGAAGAGAGAUAGAGUGAGGAUGAAUGAGGAGAGAAAGAGGGAGAAGGAAGAGAGAGAAGCAGAGAGAAGGAGCAAGAGAGAAAUUGACAUUGCAAAAAUGAAGAAACAGCAUGACAGAGAACUGAGGGAAGGACUAGAAAAGAUGCAGUCAAAGUAUGAAAAAGAUGCCAGAGAGGAAGCUGAGGGGUUCAAUCCACUGUACAAUUUGAUGGAAGCUGGUGAAUUUCAUUAAGGGACUCAAAAAGUUAGGAGAGCUUUUCAAAUUUUGAUUUCUCAGGCAGUUAAACUAAAAGACUUAUAUGAAACAGUGGUUCACUACACGCACAUUAUUUAUUUGUGGGCCCUCUGUAAACCUUUCUGCAGAACUAUACUGAGGCUGUUCACACAUGAUAUGCUGUGAUACAAAGGUUCCUGCUCUCGAUCUUCAUCUGUAGCUUCAGUUUCCAAUUUAGUCUCUCUGCAUGACAUGAGCUGAUCAGGCUGAAAACCUACUAAGAAUCUACUAUAAAGAACAUGCAGGACAAAUUAUCAGAGGUGUCAAAAGUAUUCACAUUCAUUACUCAAGUAGAAGUAUAGAUACUAGGGUUUAAAAAGACUUCUGUAGAAGAUGACAUAUCAAAUCAAGCUUUUUACUUAAGUAAAAGUUUAAAAGGUGGUUUCAAAACUACUUAAAGUAUAAAAGUAAAAGUAAUGUGGAAGUGGAAAAUCCAAGGACAAACUCUUGCUGUGUAACCUUGCUCACAGAACAUGUCAGUCCAUUACAAUAUGAUCAGAAGGUGCCUUCAGAUCAUGUGACCUGCCGUUUGGAUGAUGGAAAAUGGCGAUAUUCAGAGAGGAAACGCUAAAACAGGAACAAAUGUAUCGACCUGCAUGCUGCAUAACUUAAAUGAAACGAGAACCCAUUUUCCAGGGAGGCUAAAUGACAUGAGUCAGAAGACGGACACGCACGUUGUUCCUAUUGACUCCUAUUUACUACUUCAUGUGGGAGAGGGGCGCACCCCAUUAUAAUGACGGGAAACACUGAACUGGCUGCGGUCGGUUAUCAAAACAUUGGCCAAAUAACCAAAUAUUCAAGCUUUAUGUAAAUAAAAAAAUCUGUUAAAAAUACCGUGAAAUACUGCAGCUAUGGUUGCCAGAACUCCACUGUAAAAAUGACAGCGUCAACGUAUUAGAUGCGAUUAGAUACAGGAUGUUUUUUUAACUGUAAAUUUCACAGUUCAGAACCAUUAUUUGUUUACGGUAAUGUACUUAAAAUAACAACAUACGGUAAAAUACCGGCAGCUGUGGUUGCCAGAACUUCACCAUAAAAUCGGCAACGUCCACGUAUAAGACAUUAUGGUAUGUUUUUUGGCAGUUGUAAAUUUCUAUGGCAGUUGUCUAUACGGAGAGCUGCCAUAUUUCCUGCAGUCUGCUGCCAUUUCUUGUAAAUUGUGUGUCAGACUCAAGACACGCGUGCCAAAUCCGGCCAAAUUUCCAGUUGAGAACCGUUUUGUUUAGGGAAAACCACUAUUAAAAAAACGGAUACACUGCAGAAAGAAAUCCGUGAAAUAUACAGUAAAUUACCGUUUUGUUUGUAUAAGACAAUACGGUAUGUUUUUUAAAACAGCAUUUAUUCUGUGAACCUAAUUAAGAUCUUUCUCAGAGAUGAACACAGUACAACUGUAUGAGUUGCGGUAUUUUAUUUCAAAGUUCAAAGCAAAUUGCCAGCAACUGUA
ensembl:lncRNA